rnacentral:rRNA from 1 species
AUUGAACGCUGGCGGCAUGCUUUACACAUGCAAGUCGAACGGCAGCGCGGGCUUCGGCCUGGCGGCGAGUGGCGAACGGGUGAGUAAUACAUCGGAACGUGCCCUGUAGUGGGGGAUAGCUCGGCGAAAGCCGGAUUAAUACCGCAUACGACCUGAGGGUGAAAGCGGGGGAUCUUCGGACCUCGCGCUAUUGGAGCGGCCGAUGGCAGAUUAGCUAGUUGGUGGGGUAAAGGCCUACCAAGGCGACGAUCUGUAGCUGGUCUGAGAGGACGACCAGCCACACUGGGACUGAGACACGGCCCAGACUCCUACGGGAGGCAGCAGUGGGGAAUUUUGGACAAUGGGCGAAAGCCUGAUCCAGCAAUGCCGCGUGUGUGAUGAAGGCCUUCGGGUUGUAAAGCACUCUUGGCGGGAACGAAAAGGACUGUGCCAAUACCACGGUUCGAUGACGGUACCCGCAGAAUAAGCACCGGCUAACUACGUG